rnacentral:tRNA from 1 species
GCCCGGAUGGUGGAAUUGGCAGACACGCUAGCUUCAGGUGCUAGUGAGCGUACGCUCAUGGGGGUUCAAGUCCCCCUCCGGGCA